UGAAAACGUCCGAAUAGGAGUUAAGUUGUUAUUUGUCAAUAGUAAAAUUUCAUUUGUUUGCGGAAAAUAUUUUGUGUAGUUUAUGAUUUUCGUACACGAACAUUUAUUUUAGUUGAUUUAUGAAAAAAAAAAUCACAAAAUACUUAUUUACGUUUUUACAUAAGAUUUAGCUGCGUUCAAUUAAUUAAAUUUCCUUGGCCGAUUGUUUAGUGAUUAUGGUAGUGUGAACUGAUAAAUUUCGUAUAUAGAAAAACAAAUGUGUUGGAAAGCAAAUAAAAUUGAAAUAGUAAAUCUAUAAGUCUAUAUGUAUUUUAUGUUCAGAAAUUAGUUUUAAUCACGAAAAAGAGAUAAAACUUGAAAGUGAAGUGUUUGGAAGUUAACUGCUAAUAUCAGGAAUUACAAAAAAAAAAAAAAUCAAAUACCUUAAAAUAUACAUCAAAGUGCAAAUAAACUGAGUCGACUAUAUUGAAAAGCAGCAGUAAAAUAUUUAUCUGAGUUUACAUGAACUGACUUGCAUCAAAUGCUAAAUAUUCGUCAUCUGCUUGCAUAUCCAACAAAUCACGCUGAGUGGCAGUGAGUCAGACUGUUGCGACACAAACAACUGUUACUUUGGUAAACCGAAAUCAGCACUCAAUCGAAGAUUGCAAUUUGCUGCCUUUCGAGAUCUUUUGACAACCAAGCCGUCUACAACAGCACAAGGAAUAUCUGUAUGGUAUAAAUAUAUUUAUGUGUACUAAAAAAAGCCGCCCAGAAACAAGAGCAACUACAAACUAAAAUAAAAAUAAUAAUUUAACAACAAUAAAUAAAUAUUUUCUGUGUAUGUUUCCAUUUGCAAAUUAAAUCAAUAAGUGUGUGCAAAGUGAUUCUUAAAAGCAUAAAAACUACAAAAAAAAAUUUUUAGUGCCAACACGCUUGCUUUAAUUUAUUUAUUAGCAAAUAAUAAUCAGAAGAGAGGGAACAAAAAAUACACGAAAAGUCAUUGCAAAAAUUCCAAUGCAAACAAAACCUUGUCCGAGCAAACAAAAGCUGGCAAAGUAAUCAAACAAAAAUCAACAAACCUACCAGUAAAUGAAUUUGUGAAGGAAAGAAAAGAAUAGAAAAGUAAUAACCUAAGCGCCAGAGGUCAUUUCAAUUGGCGUUUGAUUUACUCGCUUGCGAAAUUGUUCAAAAAUUCAAUAAAAUAAAAUAAAAAAUUAUUAUUACUCAAUCAAGUGAUGCUUUGAAGUGGCACACAAACGGUUCGUAUGCUAUAGUGUGUGUCUGUGUGGCUCUGUGUUUCAAAGAAAGUGCGAAAGCAAAUAAUUUUCCCAAAUAAAUAAAUGUAUACAUUCUUUAUGAGCAGUGAAGUGAAGAAAACAAGAUAGUUCAUUUUGCGGAAAAUAUUUGAAAUUAAUUUGGAGUUUUUUUUUCACUCCGGACGGCUUUUGCACAUGCGUCACUAGCAACGUGUUGUUUUUUUACUCUAAAAGUAGCUGUUUUAUAUUCAUCGAAUAAAAAUAUGGCAACUCUAAAAGAUGCUCAUAAAAUUAUUUGUUUGCUGUUGGCACUCUUGGCGGUUGCAGGAGAAUGCAGCGAAU